ACAUUAAACAUGUCCAUUUCAUCCAAAUUUUAAAGAUUUUGGCAAAAAGUUGUUUACAGUAUCCCAUGGUAUUUCUAAAUCUCAAGGUUAUCAGUAGUUAUAUCCCUCCUACUCUUUUUCAGUCUUAAUUUUUUUAAAGGUCUGUGCUUCUUUCUUGUUUUCUUAAUUAACCCUGCCAAAGUUUUAUUUUAUAAAUCUUUCAGAGAGUCAACUUUUGGUGUUAUUAACCUUCACUGUUUUGUUCUGUUUUUUUUUUUUGUUUUGUUUUGUUUUCUUUUUAGGGCCACAUCUGCAGUAUAUGGAAGUUCCCAGGAUAGGGGUCCAAUCAGAGCUGUAGCUGCCAGCCUAUACCACAGCCACAGGAACACCAGAUCCAAGCCACAUCUGAGACCUACACCACAUCCUUAACCCACUGAGCAAGGCCAGGGAUCGAACUCACAACCUCAUGGUUAGCAGUCUGAUUCGUUUCCACUGAGCCACUAUGGGAACUCCUGUUUCUUUGUUUUCUUUAUUAUAGUCAUAUAUUUUAUUUUUUCUUCCUUUGUAUUGUUUUGGGUUUGCUCUGUUAAAUUUUAGUUUUAUUUAACAUUAGUAAAUAUUUCAUUAAUUAACAUUAACAUGUAAAUGUAUCUCAAAUAUUUUCAUAAGUAAUAAUUGUUGUUCAGUUCUGCAUAUUAGGAAUUUCCAUUGUGGAAAUUAUGAAUUAUUUAGAUGCAUUUUUUUAAGUUUCUAAAUUUCUAAGAAUUGUUGGAUACAUUUAUAUUUCUAACUAUUGAUUUUUCUGAUAUUGAUUUUUCUGAUUGCAGAUUAUAGGCUAUAAAUUAUUUUGUAUUUGUUGAAAUUUUCUUUUAUAGCCCAUUAUAGUUAUAAAGAGAUUGUCCAUUUCAUUCUAGAGAUUCAAAAAUAUUUUCUAGAGUUAAUAAAUAAAGGUAUAAAUAUAAAUGUAAUAGCAGAAGGAGCAAUGAAUGUCAUCAGUAGAUUAAAUACAUUUAAAAGAUUAAAGAAACUGCCCUUGUGAUCAGUGUGAUCAAGUUGAUUGAUUAAAUAUUUCAAAAGGAAAGGACAUUUGCCUUCAAACCUCUAUACUCUUAUAAGGAGAAAUACUCUGUAAAGCUCUAAAGAGAAGAAAUGUAAAUACUUUUAAUUUUUUGUAACAUCGUUCUUAACAAUCUUCCACAAUGUCUGUCUGUGUGCCCUUCUUCAGCAAGAGUCUGCUUUCAAGGACAGGCCUGUGGGAUCCAGGCUAAUAAGACUGUCAAAGAUAUCCAUUCAAUUGCCUAUACUAAUCAAUGUAAACAAAUGGACAGCCAAAGAGUGUUAGACAUCAUCUUUGAGUGGGUUAAGCUGUUAAAAUAUAGGUUUGUAUAUCCUCUAUUGUUGAAUCACAGUAUGUAAUUAAUACUUUUUUUUUUUUUUUUUUUUUUUGUCUUUUUAGGGCUACACAUGCGACACAUGAAAGUUCCCAGGCUAGGCGGGGGUUGAAUCAGAGCUGCAGCUGCCAGACUACACCACAGCCACAGCAACAUGGGAUCCAAGCUACAUCUGUGACCUACACCACAGUUCAGGGCAAUGCCAAAUCCUUAACCUACUGAGCAAGGCCAAGGAUCAAACCCUCCUUAUGUAUGCUAGUUGGGUUCCUAACUGCUGAGCCAUGUCCGCAAACUCCAUUUUUGUUUUAAUACUCUUAAUGCCAUUUAUCUAUAUUUAAGGUUUUUUUAAUUAGCCUAUUGUAAAGUUAGAGAAGACUUCAUUAUGUCUCAAAAUUUAAAGUUUUAAACCUUGAAAUAAUAGAAAUAAUAAUUAUAAAAUUACGUAUAGGAUGAUUGAAAAGGUGUGGGUAUGAAAGAACAGUGACUAUUUUUUCUUUUAUACUGUAGGGUCAGUAGGUGAUGUGUGAUUUUGAAAAUUAAAAGAAAUAAGCAAAGGUAUAUCAAUCAGUCGUAAUGACAACCACUAGAAAAAAAAUGUUUUUAAAUAGUUGCAAAAUAAAAGAAAUAAUAGGAUCUGGAGUUGGGAGAUGGAGAGGAAGAGAGGGAUAACUUUUGUCUUCUAAAUUUCUUAUUUUUCAAAAUGAUAGUUAAUAGAUAUUGAUAUGUGUUAGUAAUUCCAGUAAUUGACAUGUAUGUGUUUAUAUAGUUGUACAUAUACAACUACAAUUAUAAUAUUUAACAAAUAAUAAAAAUAAAAAUGAUUGCCAACAAAACAAUUAAAAAUGAAACUUUGGGCAUUACAGAUGAAGGACUGAACUUUGUGUGUGUGUGAAUGUGUUUCUGAACCUUUCAUUUUAUAAUCCUUUAUGUAGUUGAAAAUAUUUCAUCACAGGCAUGAUAUAACUAAUUUAUUUAUAAUCCUGUAUUCAGGCAAAGAAACACCAUUUAGGUAAGUAAUUAGCCAUGUGUAUAUAUGGAUUAGCUAUGUCCGUAUGUUUGGAUAUGGAAAGAGGACCAAAAUAUAUUUAUAAGUAAAAUAAAAAUAUAACACAUAUAAUUGUGUGUACUAUAUAUUUUGAUUAUUUAAAAAUGAUAAUGAUACAGAAUGUUUCUAUUAAUCAAUUCAUGGAAAAUAUCCAGAAAGAAACACAUCAAACUAAUUACAGUGACUGUUGGCAGUGCUUUAUCUUGUAUUCCAUCAUAUUGCUGAAAUAUGUUUCACUAGAACAAUGCAUUGAUUAUACAGUACAAUUUUAAGUGUAAAAGAGAUUCAAGAGAGCUUAGUUGGCAGGAUAUCUAAUUUAACCUAGUUUACUCUAUACCUCCACUGUUCAGGUUUUCAACUCUGUAGGUAUAGGAUUUCUCUGUGCCUUGCUCACUGUUCUGACCCCAGCAGCCAGACGAGGUUAGUCUCAAAACCCAUGAUAAAAACCCUUUAAAUAUUUCUGUAAUGAAUUAAUAAAUACAAGUAAAGUGCUUGAUAUAAUAUGUGAUAUACAGUAAUUAUGCAAGAGAUGAAAGCUUUUGUUUUGAUAAAUAGCCUAUAUGAACCAGUAAGAAUAAAUUGCUUUUGGUAAUUAAAAUUAAAAAUCAUUCAGAUAGCAGUAUGAGUGAUGGCUGAUGGAAAACUUUUAUUUUUUCUAUUAUUUUCUACAUGGAGUUUUAAAAUGAUCUAUUUGUACACACAUUUCAUUUUUUAAAUAAAAGAACUGUUAAGAAUUUAACUCCAGAUUGUUCUGGCUCAACAUUAAAAACAGAACAUUCUUAUUUGUGCCUUUACGUUUUUGUCAGUGACAUACACCUGCCUUUCUUUGUAGUGUAUGUUUAAACCAGAUUUCUCCAAAAAGGAUAAUAUAUUUCCUGAAGUUGCUUUAUUAUCAUCCUUCAUAUCAUCAAACCAGCCACAGAAAUCUUUGCUUACUUUUAGGUUUCAGAAUUCUUAUAAGCAGAAUGAUGCUUCUUUCUUGUAAGUCCUAUCUAUAAUAAAAUCUUGCUGAGUACAGGAGUACAUAAUGGCAUUUACUUCCUCAAUUAAUUUCAUUGUGAAUGUGCUAGAAGUUGUGUCAAUGAAGUUAUCCUGGAUGUCUUUAAUAGACAAUAAGCUUCAGUCGUGAUCAGAGUGAGGAAAAGGGAGAAUUGAACGUGAGCUAAUUUGAUGGUUAUGGCUUCCGACGAGUUUUCAUUUCCCUUCAAGCUUUGGACUAAAGCUGGAAGCAAAAGUAAAAUGCAAGAUGCUGGAGGUGCUUUGCUGCUCUGAUUUAACUUUAAGUAAAUCAGUCAUGUUCCUGACAGAACUGGCAUUCCACAGAAGGAGCCUGGGAGUUCCCGUCGUGGCGCAGUGGUUAACGAAUCCGACUAGGAACCAUGAGGUUGCGGGUUCGGUCCCUGCCCUUGCUCAGUGGAUUAACGAUCCGGCGUUGCCAUGAGCUGUGGUGUAGGUUUCAGACGCGGCUCGGAUCCCGCGUUGCUGUGGCUCUGGCGUAGGCCGGUGGCUGCGGCUCCGAUUGGACCCCUAGCCUGGGAACCUCCAUAUGCCGCGGGAGCGGCCCAAGAAAUAGCAACAACAAC
rnacentral:lncRNA from 1 species